CAGCAGACAGUUAUCCCUUUCUAGUCUGGCUCUUGAGGCUCUAGAGGGAGUCCGUCUGCAACAGUAAAUGGGGAGUUCUUCUGUGCAGCGUCAGUGUUUUGAUGGUGGCUUUGACUUGCCAGAUAUUG